rnacentral:rRNA from 1 species
UGGUUUGUGAGAACAACCAUCCGCACUGGGAAUGAGACACGGUGUCGACUCCUCCCGGAGGCACCACCGGGGAAUUUUGGACAAUGGGCUAAAACCUGAUCCACCAAUGCCGCUAGCGGGAAAAAGGGCUUCGGGCUGUAAACCUCUUUUGUUCGGAACGCAACGGAUCACUUUCAUACACUGGGCUAAUGACGGUACCUCAAGAAUAAGCGCCGGCCAACAACAUGCCACCGCCCGCGGUAAUACGCAAGGUGCGAGGGUGCAUCGGAAUUUCUGUGCUGAUAGCGUGCACACGCGGUUAUAUCAGACAUUUGUGAAAUCCCCGCGCUCACCCUGCGAAUUGCGUCUGUGCCUGCGUAGCUCGCGUACGGUGGAGGGGGAUGGAAUUCCUCGUGUAGCAGGGAAUGCGUAGAUAUGCGGAGGAACACCGCAGGCCAAGCGAAUACCCUGGAGCUGUCCUGAGCUCAUGGACGAAAACGUGUGGAGAAAAAAGAUAGAUACUCUGGUAGACACGCCCUAACGAUGUCAACUGCCUGCUGGGUGCUUAGUACUC